rnacentral:rRNA from 1 species
AACUGGGAAGGGCUCCAUAAUCAGUUAUCGUUUAUUGAUAGUCCCUUAUUCCCCGGGAUUUCUGUGGUAUUCUAGAGUUAAUACGUGCUAAAAACCUCGACUUCGGGAGGGGUGUAUUUAUUAGACUAAAAACCAAUGCCCUUCGGGGCUCCUUGGUGAAUCAUAAUAACUCAACGAAUCGCAUGGCCUUGAGCCGGCGAUGGUUCAUUCAAAUUUCUGCCCUAUCAACUUUCGAUGCUAGGGUAGUGGCCUAGCAUGGUGACAACGGGUAACGGGGGAUUAGGGUUCUAUUCCGGAGAGGGAGCCCGAGAAACGGCUACCACAUCCAAGGAAGGCAGCAGGCGCGCAAAUUACCCAAUCCCGACACGGGGAGGUAGUGACAAUAAAUACUGAUACAGGGCUCUUUUGGGUCUUGUAAUUGGAAUGAGUACGAUUUAAAUACCCUAACGAGGAACAAUUGGAGGGCAAGUCUGGUGCCAGCAGCCGCGGUAAUUCCAGCUCCAAUAGCGUAUAUUAAAGUUGUUGCAGUUAAAACGCUCGUCGUUGAACCUUGGGCCUGGGCGAUCGGUCCCCCUCACCGGGAGCACUGGUUCGGCCGGGCCUUUCCUUCUGGGGAUCCGCAUGCCCUUCACUGGGCGUGCUGGGGAACCAGGACUUUUACUUUGAAAAAAUUAGAGUGUUCAAAGCAGGCCUUUGCUCGAAUACCUUAGCAUGGAAUAAUAGAAUAGGACGUGCGGUCCUAUUUUGUUGGUUUCUAGGACCGCCGUAAUGAUUAAUAGGGUCAGUCGGGGGCAUCAGUAUUCAAUUGUCAGAGGUGAAAUUCUUAGAUUUAUUGAAGACUAACUACUGCGAAAGCAUUUGCCAAGGAUGUUUUCAUUAAUCAGUGAACGAAAGUUAGGGGAUCGAAGACGAUCAGAUACCGUCGUAGUCCUAACCAUAAACUAUGCCGACUAGGGAUCGGGGUAUACUCAUUUUUGGUUACCUCGGCACCUUACGAGAAAUCAAAGUGUU